rnacentral:rRNA from 1 species
CCUCUUAGACGAGGAUAACAGUUGGAAACGACUGCUAAGACUGGAUAGGAAGUUUUAAGGCAUCUUGAAACUUUUAAAAGACCCGCAAGGGUAUGCUAAGAGAUGGGCUUGCGGCACAUUAGUUAGUUGGUAAGGUAACGGCUUACCAAGACUAUGAUGUGUAGCUGGACUGAGAGGUUGAACGGCCACAUUGGGAUUGAGAUACGGCCCAAACUCCUACGGGAGGCAGCAGUAAGGAAUUUUCGGCAAUGGAGGAAACUCUGACCGAGCAACGCCGCGUGAACGAUGAAAUAUUUAGGUAUGUAAAGUUCUUUUAUUAAAGAAGAAAAAAUGAUGGAAAAAUCAUUCUGACGGUAUUUAAUGAAUAAGCCCCGGCUAACUAUGUGCCAGCAGCUGCGGUAAUACAUGGGGGGCAAGCGUUAUCCGGAUUUAUUGGGCGUAAAGGGUGUGUAGGCGGUUUAAUAAGUCUAUGGUAUAAGUUCAACGCUUAACGUUGUGAUGCUAUGGAAACUGUUUGACUAGAGUUGGAUAGAGGCAAGUGGAAUUCCAUGUGUAGCGGUAAAAUGCGUAAAUAUAUGGAGGAACACCAGUAGCGAAGGCGGCUUGCUGGGUCUUAACUGACGCUGAGGCACGAAAGCGUGGGGAGCAAACAGGAUUAGAUACCCUGGUAGUCCACGCCGUAAACGAUGAGUACUAAGUGUUGGGUUAAACCAGUGCUGAAGUUAACACAUUAAGUACUCCGCCUGAGUAGUACGUACGCAAGUAUGAAACUUAAAGGAAUUGACGGGACUCCGCACAAGCGGUGGAUCAUGUUGUUUAAUUCGAAGAUACACGAAAAACCUUACCAGGUCUUGACAUACUCUGCAAAGCUAUAGAAAUAUAGUGGAGGUUAUCAGGGAUACAGGUGGUGCAUGGUUGUCGUCAGCUCGUGUCGUGAGAUGUUGGGUUAAGUCCCGCAACGAGCGCAACCCUUAUCGCUAGUUACCAUCAUUUAGUUGGGCACUUUAGUGAGACUGCCAAUGAUAAAUUGGAGGAAGGUGGGGAUUACGUCAAAUCAUCAUGCCCCUUAUGACCUGGGCUACAAACGUGAUACAAUGGCUGUUACAAAGAGUAGCUGAAGCGUGAGUUUUUAGCAAAUCUCAAAAAAACAGUCUCAGUUCGGAUUGAAGUCUGCAACUCGACUUCAUGAAGUCGGAAUCGCUAGUAAUCGCGAAUCAGCAUGUCGUGGUGAAUACGUUCUCGGGGUUUGUACACACCGCCCGUCAAACCAUGAAAGUUGACAAUACUCGAAACCAGUAGCCUAACU